rnacentral:rRNA from 1 species
GUAACACGUCGGGGUAACCUGCCCAUAAGAGGGGGGAUAACAUCCGGAAACGGGUGCUAAUACCGGCAUAGUUUUCUUGAUCGCAUGAUCGGGAAAGGAAAGACGGCCUUUGUGCUGUCGCUUAUGGAUGGACCCGCGGCGUAUUAGUUAGUUGGUGAGGUAACGGCUCACCAAGACGAUGAUACGUAGCCGACCUAAGAGGGUGAUCGGCCACAUUGGGACUGAGACACGGCCCAAACUCCUACGGGAGGCAGCAGUAGGGAAUCUUCCGCAAUGGACGAAAGUCUGACGGAGCAACGCCGCGUGAGUGAAGGUAAAGGGUUUUCGGAUCGUAAAACUCUGUUGUCAGAGAAGAACAAGUUGGAGAGUAACUGCUCCAGCCUUGACGGUAUCUGACCAGAAAGCCACGGCUAACUACGUGCCAGCCGCAGC